UUGAAAGGGAAACGAUUGAAGUCAGUCGUACCGGCGGGUAAUCAGCCUUUUGGGUGUGAUUAUGUGGAGCGUGAGGAGUUAAUCACCCUCAUCUUUGCAUACUCGUGCACUUUGGGUGUACUUGCUCGUGUGGUAGGUUAACAUCAAUUUUGAUCGUCAUAAAAUGAUUGGGGGAAUGUAGCUUCGAUCUCGUAUUGAAGUGUUAUAGCCUUCGGUAGAUGUGAUGAUUGGGAUUGAGGAUUGCAACGGAUACCCUUCGGGGCUACCUGUCUGAUCUCUGAAAGUUGCUCUGGUGCUGAAAGCUUGCUUACGGUAUCAAAGUUGACGUUCAACAGGUUAGAACGGGAUAAAUUCGUUAAGGAUGUUGACGUA
rnacentral:rRNA from 1 species